rnacentral:rRNA from 1 species
GACGAACGCUGGCGGCGUGCUUAACACAUGCAAGUCGAACGGAAAGGCCCUGCUUGCCGGGUACUCGAGUGGUGAACGGGUGAGUAACACGUGGGUGAUCUGCCCUGCACUUCGGGAUAAGCCUGGGAAACUGGGUCUAAUACCGGAUAGGAGCCAUUUUUAGUGUGAUGGUUGGAAAGUUUUUUCGGUGUAGGAUGAGCUCGCGGCCUAUCAGCUUGUUGGUGGGGUAAUGGCCUACCAAGGCGGCGACGGGUAGCCGGCCUGAGAGGGUGGACGGCCACAUUGGGACUGAGAUACGGCCCAGACUCCUACGGGAGGCAGCAGUGGGGAAGAUUGCACAAUGGGCGCAAGCCUGAUGCAGCGACGCCGCGUGGGGGAUGACGGCCUUCGGGUUGGAAACUCCUUUCGCUAGGGACGAAGCUUUUUGUGACGGUACCUAGAUAAGAAGCACCGGCUAACUACGUG